rnacentral:lncRNA from 1 species
GUUUUUACCUGGGUCAUAGCUCAAAUUCAUUUCAUACAUUAAGCCCAAUUAAAACAAAUAAUGAUUUUAUAUCAAAAGAAAAAAAAACAAUUACGUGUGCUUGCGGAGGUUCGAACUCGGAAAGUAGGGUCAGUGGGUUCAAUCCGUAACCAACUGAGCCAAUAUCUAAUACAAAAAUAAGCUUACAAAUAAAAAUUGUAUUUUUAACCUGUGUCAUUUGCACCCUCAUUCUUCUAUGUAGGUCCGCCUUUGAAUACUGUCGUUCUAAUCAUUUUCUAACAUCGACGUCUCCUUUUUUUUUAGCUAUUUCCCUUUUUUUUUAUUAGUUUUAAUUCCUUCCUUAUUUACUAAUCCUAGAUGGUAAUUUAAUUGGUGUUAAUAAUAGAGGUGAAUUUGAGAGUUAACCAUAGGGGUGAACCUAAGUUUUGUCCGAUCAGUUUGGUUAUUUAUGAAAUUUAAUUAAAUUUUAGUUUUUUUUUUUGUUGGCACUGUCCUGUUCCUCAGUUCAGGAUAAAUUUGCCUAGAUUUAUACAGUAUCUUGUACAUGAAUUCAUAUUAAAAUUAUUUAUUGAAUUCCCUAAAUUAUAUACUUAAAACUCACUUUUAAUGUGCUUUUUCAAACAAAAAUUUUGAUAUGCAAAAACAAACGCAUAAUUAAAAUGAAUGGUAGAAACGAUCUAGGUCGUAAUCUAAAACGUUUUUAGUGCUAGAGUUGUGUAUCAUUCGCAUACUUGAUCAUGUCAAAAAUAUAUGCAGAUUCUCAAGGUGAGAAAUAGUAUAAGCACGAGGAUUAUGAACUUUCUCACGUU